rnacentral:rRNA from 1 species
CGGCGCAUAGCUAGUUGGUGGGGUAAAGGCCUACCAAGGCGACGAUGCGUAGCCGACCUGAGAGGGUGAUCGGCCACACUGGGACUGAGACACGGCCCAGACUCCUACGGGAGGCAGCAGUAGGGAAUCUUCCGCAAUGGGCGAAAGCCUGACGGAGCAACGCCGCGUGAGUGAUGAAGGUUUUCGGAUCGUAAAGCUCUGUUGCCAGGGAAGAACGUCUUGUAGAGUAACUGCUACAAGAGUGACGGUACCUGAGAAGAAAGCCCCGGCUAACUACGUGCCAGCAGCCGCGGUAAUACGUAGGGGGCAAGCGUUGUCCGGAAUUAUUGGGCGUAAAGCGCGCGCAGGCGGCUCUUUAAGUCUGGUGUUUAAUCCCGAGGCUCAACUUCGGGUCGCACUGGAAACUGGGGAGCUUGAGUGCAGAAGAGGAGAGUGGAAUUCCACGUGUAGCGGUGAAAUGCGUAGAGAUGUGGAGGAACACCAGUGGCGAAGGCGACUCUCUGGGCUGUAAC